rnacentral:rRNA from 1 species
CAGUAGCCACGGGAAUACGGAGGGUGCAAGCGUUAAUCGGAAUUACUGGGCGUAAAGCGCACGCAGGCGGUCUGACAAGUCAGAUGUGAAAUCCCCGGGCUUAACCUGGGAACUGCAUUUGAAACUGUCAGGCUGGAGUCUUGUAGAGGGGGGUAGAAUUCCAGGUGUAGCGGUGAAAUGCGUAGAGAUCUGGAGGAAUACCGGUGGCGAAGGCGGCCAUCUGGCCUAAUACUGACGCUGAGGUACGAAAGCAUGGGGAGCAAACAGGAUUAGAUACCCCGGUAGUCCCUGUCUCUUAUAC